UACGUAGGGCGCAAGCGUUGUCCGGAAUUAUUGGGCGUAAAGAGCUCGUAGGCGGCUUGUCACGUCGGGUGUGAAAGACCGGGGCUUAACCCCGGUUCUGCAUUCGAUACGGGCUGGCUAGAGUGUGGUAGGGGAGAUCGGAAUUCCUGGUGUAGCGGUGAAAUGCGCAGAUAUCAGGAGGAACACCGGUGGCGAAGGCGGAUCUCUGGGCCAUUACUGACGCUGAGGAGCGAAAGCGUGGGGAGCAAAAGGG
rnacentral:rRNA from 1 species